AGAGUUUGAUCAUGGCUCAGGAUGAACGCUGGCGGCGUGCCUAACACAUGCAAGUCGAGCGAGAAGCUACCUAUGGAUCUUCGGAGAAGUAGACUAGUGGACAGCGGCGGACGGGUGAGUAACGCGUAAAUAACCUGCCAUACACACAGGGAUAGCCAUCGGAAACGGUGAUUAAUACCUGAUGAAGCUACAUAUUCGCAUGAAUAAGUAGUUAAAGAAUUUUGGUGUAUGAUGGAUUUGCGUUUGAUUAGCUAGUUGGUAAGGUAAGAGCUUACCAAGGCAAUGAUCAAUAGCCGGCCUGAGAGGGUGAACGGCCACACUGGAACUGAGACACGGUCCAGACUCCUACGGGAGGCAGCAGUGGGGAAUAUUGCACAAUGGAGGAAACUCUGAUGCAGCAACGCCGCGUGAACGAAGAAGGCUUUCGAGUCGUAAAGUUCUGUUAUAGGGGAAGAAGAAGUGACGGUACCUUAUAAGAAAGCCACGGCUAAUUACGUGCCAGCAGCCGCGGUAAUACGUAAGUGGCAAGCGUUAUCCGGAAUUACUGGGCAUAAAGAGUUCGUAGGCGGUUAAUCAAGCCAAUAGUGAAAUCCACCAGCCUAACUGGUGUAAGCUAAUGGAACUGAUUAACUUGAGUACAGGAGAGGAAAGUGGAAUUCCUAGUGUAGUAGUGAAAUGCGUAGAUAUUAGGAAGAACAUCAGUAGCGAAGGCGACUUUCUGGACUGUAACUGACGCUGAGGAACGAAAGCGUGGGGAGCGAACAGGAUUAGAUACCCUGGUAGUCCACGCCGUAAACGAUGGAUACUUGGUGUCGGCCGUGAAGGUCGGUGCCGGAGCAAAUGUAUUAAGUAUCCCGCCUGGGGAGUACGGUCGCAAGGCUGAAACUCAAAAGAAUUGACGGGGACCCGCACAAGCAGCGGAGCAUGUGGUUUAAUUCGAAGCAACGCGAAGAACCUUACCAAAUCUUGACAUAUCAAAGCUAUCUGAGUAAAAUUAGAGUUCCAUUUGGACUUUGAAUACAGGUGGUGCAUGGUUGUCGUCAGCUCGUGUCGUGAGAUGUUGGGUUAAGUCCCGUAACGAGCGCAACCCUUAUUUCUAGUUGCUAACAGGUAAUGCUGAGGACUUUAGAGAGACUGCCGAUGAAAAAAUCGGAGGAAGGUGGGGAUGACGUCAAAUCAUCAUGCCCCUUAUGAUUUGGGCUACACACGUGCUACAAUGGCCGGUACAACGGGUAUGCGAAAGGGUGACCUGGAGCUAAUCCUAACAAGCCGGUCCCAGUUCGGAUUGCAGAUUGAAACUCAUCUGUAUGAAGUUGGAGUUGCUAGUAAUCGCUGAUCAGAAUGUCGCGGUGAAUGCGUUCCCGGGUCUUGUACACACCGCCCGUCACACCAUGGAAGUUGGAAGCGCCCGAAGUCAGUGUAACUGCCGAAGGUGAAAUCAAUAACUAGGGUGAAGUCGUAACAAGGUAA
rnacentral:rRNA from 1 species